rnacentral:lncRNA from 1 species
CAAACUGUAUGCUCACUUGGCUACUGUUCAAAAUGAAAAUUGGAGAAAAAGAAGAAACUACUUUUAAAUUGAAUUGCCAAGUAAGCUUCUGUUGAUUUGUCUUGAUUCCUUAUGUGUGAUAAGUUGCAGAUUUGGUGGACUAACAAAAUGAAGAAAGAUCUAGCAGUUGGUCGAUAAAGCUAUACACCUUAUUUGGCCCUUGGAUACAUGGAACCAUCUUUGUUAACUUGUUACUGCUGCAUUAAGAAAUUAUUUCUUUUGGAAAUAAGUGAAGCUAUAGGUCUCCACGAGUUUAUUUAACAACAAACCAGCAUCUAUGGAUUUUGAAAACAUAAUCCUAAAGCUGCUCCCUGGCUUAUUAUGUUGAAAGUUGAUUUUACCAAUUCUCUCCCGAAGUAACUUCAGAGUAUAGUUAAUAGUAAUAGACUCUAUGGAUCGUGCGAACUUGACUAAUAUUUUUUACUGGUUGAUAAUAGUGGAAAAUUUUGUAGGCGGGUUAUUUUCUAAUUUGAUUAGUGGAAAAGAUCAGUUUAUGAACAUUUGCAUUAAAUUGGUGUUUGGCUGUAUGUUGAAAAGUAGAUGUGUGUUGUGAUCAUUUUUAUAUUGGUCUAGUGUCAAAUACAGUUUAGCGUAAAAUCUUGCUUAAGCCUCCGUUUGGGAAGAAUUUAUAAUCUGUUUAAUCUAUAAAUAGAUAGAAAUGAGUAGAGAUAAGUGUAUAGUACUUUUGGGUCCAUUGGUAUGUAUGAGUCGAUGAUUUAUAACCUUGUUUGGCCUCCAUUAUAAUGAGAAUUUGGGAAAUGUAUUUUGGAAUGGUAAUUAUUUGAAGAAUGUGUGGUUAAAAAAAAGGAAAAUUUUUGGGGUUAUGUGUUAUUAUUUUAUUGGAGAAUGUAUAGUUGAUAAGAAGAGAGAGAAAAGUGAAUUAUAAUUUUAAUGGGGUCCAAAUAGGGGCCUAAUCUGAUUUCCUUAUUGUUCAGAUGACAUUAUCAGUGGUCGCCGAAUCCAGCUGGUGACACUCAUGACCAUUUUUCCUGGUAGUGAAGAUCUGACAGUCAGAUGUUAUGAGAUUAAAUUUAAUCCUGACUGCUAGAGCUUGAGCAGCAGUUGUGUAAUAACAAUUUGUUUGAAUGACAUUUAUUCAUGUACGGAUUGAUCAUGGGCAGAACUUGGCUCCUCCCCCAUAAUUGCUGCGACUUUCUACCAGUCUAUAUGGAAUUAAACUUGUGUUUAUUAUAUGACGUAGUACU